rnacentral:rRNA from 1 species
AUUGAACGCUGGCGGCAGGCCUAACACAUGCAAGUCGAGCGGUAGAGAGGUGCUUGCACCUCUUGAGAGCGGCGGACGGGUGAGUAAUGCCUAGGAAUCUGCCUGGUAGUGGGGGAUAACGCUCGGAAACGGACGCUAAUACCGCAUACGUCCUACGGGAGAAAGCAGGGGACCUUCGGGCCUUGCGCUAUCAGAUGAGCCUAGGUCGGAUUAGCUAGUUGGUGAGGUAAUGGCUCACCAAGGAGACGAUCCGUAACUGGUCUGAGAGGAUGAUCAGUCACACUGGAACUGAGACACGGUCCAGACUCCUACGGGAGGCAGCAGUGGGGAAUAUUGGACAAUGGGCGAAAGCCUGAUCCAGCCAUGCCGCGUGUGUGAAGAAGGUCCUCGGAUUGUAAAGCACUUUAAGUUGGGAGGAAGGGUCGUUACCUAAUACGUGACGAUUUUGACGUUACCGACAGAAUAAGCACCGGCUAACUCUGUGCCAGCCGCCGCCGUAAUAC